UACGUAGGGCGCAAGCGUUGUCCGGAAUUAUUGGGCGUAAAGAGCUCGUAGGCGGUUUGUCGCGUCUGCUGUGAAAACCUAAGGCUCAACCUUGGGCUUGCAGUGGGUACGGGCAGACUAGAGUCCGGAAGAGGUGAGUGGAAUUCCUGGUGUAGCGGUGGAAUGCGCAGAUAUCAGGAGGAACACCAAUAGCGAAGGCAGCUCGCUGGGACGGUACUGACGCUGAGGCGCGAAAGCGUGGGGAGCGAACAGG
rnacentral:rRNA from 1 species